AGCCUCAUGGUGUAAUGGUAACACUCCGGAUUUUGAUUCCGUCAUUCUAGGUUCGAGUCCUAGUGAGGCUA
rnacentral:tRNA from 1 species